GAUAGCCCCCGCCUCGCCGGCCCGGACGAUAUAGAGGGCGCGCUCCUCAUCCAUGGCCGCAGGUGCGGGGGAGCCGGGGCCGCUCCGCGCGCACAGCGGCUGCCUCCAGAUUCACUUUGGACAUUUUGACUGAUGUCACUUUAAAGCAAAUAUUAAGGACAAAAGUGGCGGGAGUGGAAAAGAGCAGACGACUACCCAAAGUAUCAGAGCAGACCUGGGGUAUACCAGAGGCCCGACAAGGGGCACAGCAGGAUGGAUGCCUAGGACGCCACAGGCCUGCAACGUGGAUCCUACUCGGUUCUGAGGUUGAAGUUUUAGAACAAUUGGGAACAUAGGCAGUACACUCAGCUCCCAAGAGAUGGGUGCCUCGUGCUGUGGAGAGAGCACCCCGUGCUGUGGAGAGAGCGCCCUGCAACCGCUUACCGGCGUUGAAAGCUGCCUUCUUCCUGCAGUGCUGACGGCUCCUGGUUCCUGGCCAUGCGGUGAGCAGGAGGCACACAUUCGCUCCCCUGCAAAGUUCUCGGAGUGACCACUCUAACCUCUGGGAUUCGGGCCCCUGUUGGUUGUGACUGUUCCUGCCUAAAGAUCUGCAUUUAAUGAGCCUGUGGUGGUUACCUGCAUGUGGGUGUUUUUUAUUAAGAGUUGCUGCACCUGGCUAGAGAACCUGACGAUUGCUCAAACUUUUGUGCUUAGUCAAGCAGACUUACUAUACCAUUUUGUUUGUGGAGCACUACCUAUGAAUUGUAAAAGAGCAGCAGCUUGUUAUCCUCAGGUUUAUUUUAUAUAGCGGCUAAAUGUGAAAUUUCAUUCCUUCACGCUCCUGUUUUUCUUGUAUAAUGUCAACAAAUGGAUUGUGGCCGAGAGAUCAAACUAAUUCACCUCCAGAGAGUGAAAUCCAACAUCAGCUUUCUUUUUGUAGGAUAUCAUAGCUAAAUAUUUUUAAGGGGUGAUAUGUAAAAUAUGUAAUUUUAAUCUGAAACUCAUUUUUAGGUUUAAAUAGGUUAUGCAAUAGCAAGGAAGAG